CUGCAACUAAACACAGCACAGCCGACCAAGGAAGGUCUCACUCAUCUAAAGAAAGGUGCUUAAAAACAAACAGAAAAGAGCACAAAAUGGCUCAGGACUACAAACAUCAGAAAUCAUUUCCAGCCACUCAAGAAUCAUGGAUAGUCAAAAACAACCCUAUUUUAAUCCUGAAAAUAAAGUAAUUGGGUUCCUCCUAUGACCCAAGCGCAGAUACAUGGAACCGCGAGUGCUGGGGCUGCAGCUAAUUCUCUGGAAAUGGUAAAGGAAGAAAGAGACCUUGAGGUUAUCUAACAGAUCAAAUGCCAAAAUGUUGGGCUGGCAGUUAUUCAAGCAACAUAAGCAAGUUUUGCUGCAACCAAGGGGAAAUACUUAGACGACACUAUGGUGAACAGCAGAUGUCUGCAGUUUAUUUUCCAUGAUUGGAUUUUAAUAGAAUUUGCAUGAGGUCUUAUUUAUGUUCAAGAUAUCACAUUAGGGACCUGAGGUUCUCUGUGCAAACUUGAUAUAUGCUGAAGAAAACUAGAAAAAGUCCAGGGAAGUUUAUUUUCUGCAAAUGAUUCAUGAACAGCUCUCUGCUAGUUAUUGUCA